AUANUGCAGUCGAACGAACUUCCGUUAAUUGAUUAUGACGUACUUGUACUGAUUGAGAUUUUAACACGAAGUGAGUGGCGAACGGGUGAGUAACACGUGGGUAACCUGCCCAGAAGUAGGGGAUAACACCUGGAAACAGAUGCUAAUACCGUAUAACAGAGAAAACCGCAUGGUUUUCUUUUAAAAGAUGGCUCUGCUAUCACUUCUGGAUGGACCCGCGGCGUAUUAGCUAGUUGGUGAGGUAAAGGCUCACCAAGGCAGUGAUACGUAGCCGACCUGAGAGGGUAAUCGGCCACAUUGGGACUGAGACACGGCCCAGACUCCUACGGGAGGCAGCAGUAGGGAAUCUUCCACAAUGGACGCAAGUCUGAUGGAGCAACGCCGCGUGAGUGAAGAAGGGUUUCGGCUCGUAAAGCUCUGUUGUUAAAGAAGAACGUGGGUAAGAGUAACUGUUUACCCAGUGACGGUAUUUAACCAGAAAGCCACGGCUAACUACGUGCCAGCAGCCGCGGUAAUACGUAGGUGGCAAGCGUUAUCCGGAUUUAUUGGGCGUAAAGCGAGCGCAGGCGGUCUUUUAAGUCUAAUGUGAAAGCCUUCGGCUCAACCGAAGAAGUGCAUUGGAAACUGGGAGACUUGAGUGCAGAAGAGGACAGUGGAACUCCAUGUGUAGCGGUGAAAUGCGUAGAUAUAUGGAAGAACACCAGUGGCGAAGGCGGCUGUCUGGUCUGCAACUGACGCUGAGGCUCGAAAGCAUGGGUAGCGAACAGGAUUAGAUACCCUGGUAGUCCAUGCCGUAAACGAUGAUUACUAAGUGUUGGAGGGUUUCCGCCCUUCAGUGCUGCAGCUAACGCAUUAAGUAAUCCGCCUGGGGAGUACGACCGCAAGGUUGAAACUCAAAAGAAUUGACGGGGGCCCGCACAAGCGGUGGAGCAUGUGGUUUAAUUCGAAGCUACGCGAAGAACCUUACCAGGUCUUGACAUCUUCUGACAGUCUAAGAGAUUAGAGGUUCCCUUCGGGGACAGAAUGACAGGUGGUGCAUGGUUGUCGUCAGCUCGUGUCGUGAGAUGUUGGGUUAAGUCCCGCAACGAGCGCAACCCUUAUUACUAGUUGCCAGCAUUAAGUUGGGCACUCUAGUGARACUGCCGGUGACAAACCGGAGGAAGGUGGGAGNCC
rnacentral:rRNA from 1 species